rnacentral:rRNA from 1 species
UCGGAGUGCUUGCACUCUGUGAAACAAGAUACAGGCUAGCGGCGGACGGGUGAGUAACACGUGGGUAACCUGCCCAAGAGAUCGGGAUAACACCUGGAAACAGAUGCUAAUACCGGAUAACAACAGAUGAUGCCUAUCAACUGUUUAAAAGAUGGUUCUGCUAUCACUCUUGGAUGGACCUGCGGUGCAUUAGCUAGUUGGUAGGGUAACGGCCUACCAAGGCGAUGAUGCAUAGCCGAGUUGAGAGACUGAUCGGCCACAUUGGGACUGAGACACGGCCCAAACUCCUACGGGAGGCAGCAGUAGGGAAUCUUCCACAAUGGACGCAAGUCUGAUGGAGCAACGCCGCGUGAGUGAAGAAGGGUUUCGGCUCGUAAAGCUCUGUUGUUGGUGAAGAAGGACAGGGGUAGUAACUGACCUUUGUUUACGGUAAUCAAUUAGAAAGUCACGGCUAACUACGUGCCAGCAGCCGCGGUAAUACGUAGGUGGCAAGCGUUGUCCGGAUUUAUUGGGCGUAAAGCGAGUGCAGGCGGUUCGAUAAGUCUGAUGUGAAAGCCUUCGGCUCAACCGGAGAAUUGCAUCAGAAACUGUCGAGCUUGAGUACAGAAGAGGAGAGUGGAACUCCAUGUGUAGCGGUGAAAUGCGUAGAUAUAUGGAAGAACACCGGUGGCGAAGGCGGCUCUCUGGUCUGUUACUGACGCUGAGGCUCGAAAGCAUGGGUAGCGAACAGGA